rnacentral:rRNA from 1 species
AGUGAACGCUGGCGGUAGGCCUAACACAUGCAAGUCGAACGGCAGCACAGUAAGAGCUUGCUCUUACGGGUGGCGAGUGGCGGACGGGUGAGGAAUACAUCGGAAUCUACUUUUUCGUGGGGGAUAACGUAGGGAAACUUACGCCAAUACCGCAUACGACGUACGGGUGAAAGCAGCGGAUCUUCGGACCUUGCGCGAUUGAAUGAGCCGAUGUCGGAUUAGCUAGUUGGCGGGGUAAAGGCCCACCAAGGCGACGAUCCGUAGCUGGUCUGAGAGGAUGAUCAGCCACACUGGAACUGAGACACGGUCCAGACUCCUACGGGAGGCAGCAGUGGGGAAUAUUGGACAAUGGGCGCAAGCCUGAUCCAGCCAUGCCGCGUGGGUGAAGAAGGCCUUCGGGUUGUAAAGCCCUUUUGUUGGGGAAGAAAAGCAGCAGGUUAAUACCCCGCUGUUCUGACGUUACCAAAAGAAUAAGCACCGGCUAACUUCGUG